ACGAAUCGGAAGCUUGCUUUUGAUUCGUUAGCGGCGACGGGUGAGUAACACGUGGGCAACCUGCCCUGUAGACGGGGAUAACACCGAGAAAUCGGUGCUAAUACCGGAUAACACGAAAUGUCGCAUGACGUUCGUUGAAAGACGGCGCAAGCUGUCGCUACAGGAUGGGCCCGCGGCGCAUUAGCUAGUUGGUGAGGUAGUGGCUCACCAAGGCGACGACGGGUAGCCGGCCUGAGAGGGCGACCGGCCACACUGGGACUGAGACACGGCCCAGACUCC
rnacentral:rRNA from 1 species